CCCUUAGAUGUUCUGGGCCGCACGCGCGCUACACUGAUGAAUUCAACGAGCACUAACCUGUGCAGAAAUGUUCGGGUAAUCUUGUGAAAUUUCAUCGUGAUGGGGAUUGAUUAUUGCAAUUAUUAAUCAUAAACGAGGAAUGCCUAGUAAGCGUGAGUCAUCAGCUCACGUUGAUUACGUCCCUGCCCUUUGUACACACCGCCCGUCGCUCCUACCGAUUGAAUGUGCUGGUGAAAAGUUCGUAUUGGGAAUAGGAGACGGCAACGUAUCCUGUUUCUGAGAAAAUCUUUAAACCCUCCCAUUUAGAGGAAGGAGAAGUCGUAACA
rnacentral:rRNA from 1 species